CUAUCUACAUAAUAUGUAAUUAUUUUCUGCAAGCGUGGAUCAAAACACAAAAAAUAACAAUAACUCAGAGCGUGCUGAUGGAGUCUUUGAUCAAUCAAAGGGUAAAACACUGAUUCUGUGAAAAGUCUGAGCUGGCUAGCCCCAGCGCCUUGCUAGAGUUUGUAUGUUUGAGAGAGUCACAAUUGCAGUUUAAAAGCUUAAGGGGAAAAAAAAUCAUCAGGGUCAAUUAGGAAAUAAAGGUCACUAAACUGCCCAGGAUACAACUUCCCUUUCCUUCCACCCAGGUCCUGGGCUGUCUGUGGUGGCACCUCGUUCGACCUCUCUGGGUAAGAGGACCCUGAAGGCAGCUCCCGCCUGGCACCAGAAGAGACGUCAUCUCAUUGCAGUAAUCGUUGCCUGCAAAGUAACCAGACGACUGUGAGAUGGGUAUGUCAUUGCAGUUCAAA
rnacentral:lncRNA from 1 species